GGGCAAUUGGUCUAGUGGUAUGAUUUUCGCUUUGCAUCCUCAAAAUGCAGUUGUGAAAGGUCACCGGUUCGAUCCCGGUAUUGUCCA